GAUUUUCUUUUUUUAGAAG
rnacentral:tRNA from 1 species